GGAUCCAGACUUUGAUCCUGGCUCAGGAUGAACGCUGGCGGCAUGCCUAAGACAUGCAAGUCGAACGAGAUGGCCCAUUGAAGAUUGAGUGCUUGCACGAUUUCCGAUUUGGAUUCUCCAUCUAGUGGCGGACGGGUGAGUAACACGUGGGUGACCUACCUUUGAGUUUGGGACAACUACUGGAAACGGUAGCUAAUACCAAAUAAUAUACAGUUUCGUUUCUGUAUUAAAAGGCGCUUUACAGCGUCGCUCUUAGAUGGGCCUGCGGCGUAUUAGCUAGUUGGUGAGGUAAUGGCUCACCAAGGCGACGAUGCGUAGCCGGACUGAGAGGUUGAUCGGCCACAUUGGGACUGAGACACGGCCCAAACUCCUACGGGAGACAGCAGUUAGGAAUAUUCGUCAAUGGGGGAAACCCUGAACGAGCAAUGCCGCGUGAGUGAUGAAGGUCCUUUGGAUUGUAAAACUCUGUUGUAUGGGAAGAACGGUCAGACUAGGAAAUGAGUCUGAAGUGACGGUACCAUGCCAGAAAGCUCCGGCUAACUACGUGCCAGCAGCCGCGGUAAUACGUAGGGAGCGAGCGUUAUCCGGAUUUAUUGGGCGUAAAGGGUGCGUAGGCGGCUUGUUAAGUAUGAAAUUAAAGCCCGGGGCUUAACUCCGGUUCGUUUCAUAAACUGGCUAGCUUGAGUAUGGAGGAGGUAAACGGAAUUUCUAGUGUAGCGGUGGAAUGCGUAGAUAUUAGAAGGAACACCAGUGGCGAAGGCGGUUUACUGGGCCAUUACUGACGCUGAGGCACGAAAGCGUGGGGAGCAAAUAGGAUUAGAUACCCUAGUAGUCCACGCCGUAAACGAUGAGUACUAAGUGUUGGGGUUUCCCAGUGCUGAAGUUAACAUAUUAAGUACUCCGCCUGAGUAGUACGGUCGCAAGGCCGCAACUCAAAUGAAUUGACGG
rnacentral:rRNA from 1 species